GCCAGUGUUGCUCAAUGGAUAGAGCGUCAGCCUGCAGACUGAAGGGUCAUGGGUUCAAUUCUGGUUGCAGGCU
rnacentral:tRNA from 1 species